CCUACGGGAGGCAGCAGUAGGGAAUCUUUCACAAUGGGCGAAAGCCUGAUGGAGCAACGCCGCGUGCAGGAUGAAGGCCUUCGGGUUGUAAACUGCUUUUAUAAGCGAGAGAUAUGAUCGUAACUUAUGAAUAAGGAUCGGCUAACUACGUGCCAGCAUCCGCGGUCAUACGUAGGAGCCGAGCAUUAUCCGGAGUGACUGGGUGUAAAGAGGUGCGUAGGUGGCAUAAUAAGUAGCUAGUGAAAUCUGGUGGCUCAACCAUUCAGACGAUUAGCUAAACUGUUAUGCUCGAGAGCGUUAGGGGUAACUGGAAUUUCUAGUGUAGGAGUGAAAUCCGUAGAUAUUAGAAGGAACACCAAUAGCGUAGGCAGGUUACUGGGACGGUUCUGACACUAAGGCACGAAAGCGUAGGGAGCAAACGGGAUUAGAUACCCCUGUAGUC
rnacentral:rRNA from 1 species